rnacentral:rRNA from 1 species
UACGUAGGGUGCAAGCGUUAAUCGGAAUUACUGGGCGUAAAGCGCGUGUAGGCGGUCUUAAAAGUCAGGUGUGAAAGCCCCGGGCUCAACCCGGGAAGUGCACUUGAAACUGCAAGGCUAGAGUACUGGAGAGGUUGGUGGAAUUCUCGGUGUAGAGGUGAAAUUCGUAGAUAUCGAGAGGAACACCGGUGGCGAAGGCGGCCAACUGGACAGAUACUGACGCUGAGACUCGAAAGCGUGGGGAGCAAACAGG